rnacentral:tRNA from 1 species
AUUUAUGUAGUUUAAAAAAAACAUUAUAUUUUCAAUGUAAAAUUAAGAUCUAUUCAUAAAUA